UACGUAGGGUGCGAGCGUUAAUCGGAAUUACUGGGCGUAAAGCGUGCGCAGGCGGUUCGUUAUGUCCGAUGUGAAAGCCCCGAGCUCAACUUGGGAAUGGCAUUGGAAACUGGCGGGCUGGAGUGUGGCAGAGGGGGGUGGAAUUCCACGUGUAGCAGUGAAAUGCGUAGAGAUGUGGAGGAACACCGAUGGCGAAGGCAGCCCCUGGGCUGAGAUUGACGCUCAGGCACGAAGCGUGGGGAGCAAACAGG
rnacentral:rRNA from 1 species